UACGAAGGGGCUAGCGUUGUUCGGAAUUACUGGGCGUAAAGCGCGCGCAGGCGGUCUUCCAAGUCAGUGGUGAAAGCCUGGAGCUCAACUCCAGAACUGCCAUUGAAACUGUUAGACUUGAGUACGAGAGAGGUGAGUGGAAUUCCCAGUGUAGAGGUGAAAUUCGUAGAUAUUGGGAAGAACACCAGUGGCGAAGGCGGCUCACUGGCUCGUAACUGACGCUCAGGCGCGACAGCGUGGGGAUCGAAACGGAG
rnacentral:rRNA from 1 species